AGAGAGAGAGAAAGAAAAUGCCAAUUGUAAGUUGAUGGAUCAUCUCAGAAAAUGUAACACGAACCAAAAACCUUUUUGGAAAAUUACUAUAUUAUUUUUUUUGUAGUGAAAAUUUUAUUAUUAACAAAUGUCUAAAAUUUGCUUAAUAGGUUCUGACCGGAUCGACGAGAUAAACCGGGUUACAACCCGGUUGCAAUUUGGAUCAAAGCUAAAAAGAGAUGGCUUCGGUUGUGUCAUGGACGACGAUGGUGAUCGGAGAGGGGCUUUGGUGGUGUUGGGGCCGAAGGUGGAGGUCGAAGAAGCUUCUGUCCGUUUUUAAGAGAGGUUUCUAGAUGAGUUUCUUUUCUGCGAUAGAUUGACAUAUGUAUACGAAAAUCAGCCAUAAAUCUCUACCAAUAGCUCACAUACCCAUGAAACAUCACCUCCAUUGGAAAUCUAUUUCAAUUUCCUAUAACCAUUAUAAAGAGGUCCAAAGCUAAAUCUCAAUGAAAGAACUUCAUCCGAGUCGAUCUUUGAGAGACUUCAGAUAGGUUAUGAAUCAUCAAUUCUCUUCUUUGCAUUUAAAUGUGUGUCCUCCAUUAUUUUAACAUG